GAUGAACGCUAGCGGCAGGCCUAACACAUGCAAGUCGAGGGGCAGCACGUCUUCGGAUGGUGGCGACCGGCGCACGGGUGCGUAACGCGUAUGCAACCUACCUCUUACAGUGGGAUAGCCCAGAGAAAUUUGGAUUAAUACCGCAUAGUAUACAGAUUCAGCAUUGGGACUGUAUUAAACAUUUAUGGGUAAGAGAUGGGCAUGCGUUCUAUUAGUUAGUUGGAGUGGUAACGGCACCCCAAGACAGCGAUAGAUAGGGGCCCUGAGAGGGGGAUCCCCACAUUGGUACUGAGACACGGACCAG
rnacentral:rRNA from 1 species